rnacentral:rRNA from 1 species
UGUUUCCUACGGGGGGCAGCAGUCGGGAAUAUUGCGCAAUGGAGGAAACUCUGACGCAGUGACACCGCGUGCAGGAAGAAGGUGUUCGGAUUGUAAAUUGCUUUAGACAGGGAAGAAAAAAGACAGUACCUGUAGAAUAAGCUCCGGCUAACUACGUGCCAGCAGCCGCGGUAAUACGUAGGGAGCAAGCGUUAUCCGGAUUUAUUGGGUGUAAAGGGUGCGUAGACGGAGAAGCAAGUUAGUUGUGAAAUCCCUCGGCUUAACUGAGGAACUGCAACUAAAACUACUUCCCUUGAUUACUGGAG